CUUUCGCGGUAUGGGAUGGGGUCGCGUCCUAUCAGCUUGACGGCGGGGUAACGGCCCACCGUGGCUUCGACGGGUAGCCGGCCUGAGAGGGCGACCGGCCACAUUGGGACUGAGAUACGGCCCAGACUCCUACGGGAGGCAGCAGUGGGGAAUAUUGCACAAUGGGCGCAAGCCUGAUGCAGCGACGCCGCGUGAGGC
rnacentral:rRNA from 1 species